rnacentral:rRNA from 1 species
UACGAAGGGGGCAAGCGUUGUUCGGAAUUACUGGGCGUAAAGGGCGCGUAGGCGGUGCACUAAGUCAGGCGUGAAAGCCCUGGGCUCAACCCGGGAAUUGCGCUUGAUACUGGUGUGCUUGAAUCCAGGAGAGGUUGGUGGAAUUCCCAGUGUAGAGGUGAAAUUCGUAGAGGUUGGGAAGAACACCGGUGGCGAAGGCGGCCAACUGGACUGGUAUUGACGCUGAUGCGCGAAAGCGUGGGGAGCAAACAGGAUUAGAUACCCUGGUAGUCCACGCUGUAAACGAUGUGUGCUAGCCGUUGGGGCUCUUAGAGCUUCGGUGGCGUCGCUAACGCUUUAAGCACACCGCCUGGGGAGUACGGUCGCAAGAUUAAAACUCAAAG